AUUUAUAAAUUAUUAGCACAAAAUUGCGCGUAGGCCGGUCGCUUCCGCCGUUCCGCCUCCUGUUAGUCGACGCUAACGCGUCUUAGAGAGCAGUCCUGUACAACUUUUUCGCGCGGUGCCGUUGUCUACUCGCAUACGUGAUUUAGUGUUAGUGAUACUAAAGUUUUUCAUAAACAUGGUGAAUUUUGGUGGCCAAAACAUUGAUGGUGAGAACAUUAGGAAGAAAAUGUUGCGAAAGCAGAUAAAAAAACUACAGUUAUUGAACCCAAAUAGCGAAGCGCGACCACGAAAAAUCCGAUGAGCAGCCUGCAAGCCAGGACGCAAUAAAAGACAAACCAUGAUUACCAGAAACUGAUGUGGAUCUUCAGACAGUUUCAUAUAGUACUUUUUUGUCACAAUGUACAAGGACAGCUCAAAAUGACGAGCAAGAAACAUAUUUAUUUUCGGAACAAGGUGAAGAAGAAAAAAUGAAAGUCGUAUCAAGAAGAUAAACAUUGGAACAAUAAAAUAGUACCAAAACCAGCAUUCGAAAAUAUCUGUUAUGUUAUGUU